rnacentral:rRNA from 1 species
UACGUAGGGUCCGAGCGUUGUCCGGAAUUACUGGGCGUAAAGAGCUCGUAGGCGGUGUGUCGCGUCGGCCGUGAAAACCUGCAGCUUAACUGUGGGCGUGCGGUCGAUACGGGCAGGCUAGAGUUCGGUAGGGGAGACUGGAAUUCCUGGUGUAGCGGUGAAAUGCGUAGAUAUCUGGAGGAACACCGGUGGCGAAGGCGGCAGUCCUGGACCGACGACUGACGCGUGAGGAGCGAAAGCCAGGGGAAGCAAAGCGGG